GAUCGCUGUGAUGAGUAUUUCCAAAACCAUUCGUAGUUUCCACCAGAAGUUGACUAAUGAUGGCAAAGUACCUUCCUUGGAUGUCUGAGCGAUC
rnacentral:snoRNA from 1 species